rnacentral:rRNA from 1 species
CCUACGGGAGGCAGCAGUGAGGAAUAUUGGUCAAUGGGCGCGAGCCUGAACCAGCCAAGUAGCGUGAAGGAUGACUGCCCUACGGGUUGUAAACUUCUUUUAUAAAGGAAUAAAGUGAGGCACGUGUGCCUUUUUGUAUGUACUUUAUGAAUAAGGAUCGGCUAACUCCGUGCCAGAAGCCGCGGUAAUACGGAGGAGCCGAGCGUUAUCCGGAUUUAUUGGGUUUAAAGGGAGCGUAGAUGGGUUGUUAAGUCAGUUGUGAAAGUUUGCGGCUCCACCGUAAAAUUGCAAUUGCUACUGGCAGCCUUGAGUACAGUUGCGGUAGGCGGAAUUCGUUGUGUAGCGGU